AGCGCCGGCUAACUACGUGCCAGCAGCCGCGGUAAUACGUAGGGCGCAAGCGUUGUCCGGAAUUAUUGGGCGUAAAGAGCUUGUAGGUGGCUUGUCGCGUCUGCCGUGAAAACCCGAGGCUCAACCUCGGGCGUGCGGUGGGUACGGGCAGGCUAGAGUGUGGUAGGGGAGACUGGAACUCCUGGUGUAGCGGUGAAAUGCGCAGAUAUCAGGAAGAACACCGAUGGCGAAGGCAGGUCUCUGGGCCAUUACUGACACUGAGAAGCGAAAGCAUGGGUAGCGAACAGGAUUAGAUACCCUGGUAGUCCAUGCCGUAAACGUUGGGCACUAGAUGUGGGGGACAUUCCACGUUUUCCGCGUCGUAGCUAACGCAUUAAGUGCCCCGCCUGGGGAGUACGGCCGCAAGGCUAAAACUCAAAGGAAUUGACGGGGGCCCGCACAAGCGGCGGAGCAUGCUGAUUAAUUCGAUGCAACGCGAAGAACCUUACCAAGGCUUGACAUGCACCGGACGACCUCAGAGAUGGGGUUUUCUUCGGACUGGUGCACAGGUGGUGCAUGGUUGUCGUCAGCUCGUGUCGUGAGAUGUUGGGUUAAGUCCCGCAACGAGCGCAACCCUUGUUCUAUGUUGCCAGCACGUGAUGGUGGGGACUCAUAGGAGACUGCCGGGGUCAACUCGGA
rnacentral:rRNA from 1 species